UACGUAGGGCGCGAACGUUGUCCGGAAUUAUUGGGCGUAAAGAGCUCGUAGGCGGCCUGUUGCGUCCGCUGUGAAAUCCCAGGGCUCAACCCUGGGCGUGCAGUGGAUACGGGCAGGCUGGAGGCAGGCAGGGGAGAACGGAAUUCCCGGUGUAGCGGUGAAAUGCGUAGAGAUGUGGAGGAACACCGAUGGCGAAGGCAGCCCCCUGGGCUGAGAUUGACGCUCAGGCACGAAAGCGUGGGGAGCAAACAGGG
rnacentral:rRNA from 1 species